CCUACGGGCGGCUGCAGUGGGGAAUAUUGGACAAUGGGGGCAACCCUGAUCCAGCCAUGCCGCGUGUGUGAAGAAGGCCCUCGGGUUGUAAAGCACUUUCAGUGAGGAAGAACGCCUGGUGGUUAAUACCCAUCAGGAAAGACAUCACUCACAGAAGAAGCACCGGCUAACUCCGUGCCAGCAGCCGCGGUAAUACGGAGGGUGCGAGCGUUAAUCGGAAUUACUGGGCGUAAAGCGCGCGUAGGAGGCUUGAUAAGCCGGUUGUGAAAGCCCCGGGCUCAACCUGGGAACGGCAUCCGGAACUGUCAAGCUAGAGUGCAGGAGAGGAAGGUAGAAUUCCCGGUGUAGCGGUGAAAUGCGUAGAGAUCGGGAGGAAUACCAGUGGCGAAGGCGGCCUUCUGGACUGACACUGACACUGAGGUGCGAAAGCGUGGGUAGCAAACAGGAUUAGAUACCCGUGUAGUC
rnacentral:rRNA from 1 species